rnacentral:rRNA from 1 species
UAGCAUAUGUUAAAGUUGUUGCGGUUAAAAAGCUCGUAGUUGGAUCUCGGCGGGUCGGGGGCGGUUCGAUUUAUGUCGUGACUGCCCCACUGACCCGUGUUUUUGGCGGAGGUCGUCGGGUGCUCUUAAUCGAGUGUCCUACGGCGCCGUCAGGUUUACUUUGAAAAAAUUAGAGUGCUCCAGGCAGGCUUGACACGCCUGAAUAGUCGUGCAUGGAAUAAUGGAAUAGGACGUCGUUUCUAUUUUGUUGGUUUUCGGAUAUCGACGUAAUGAUUAAUAGGGACAGUCGGGGGCAUUAGUAUUCAGACGAC